rnacentral:lncRNA from 1 species
GGGGCAUGAGAGUUUAUUGUCUCCAAGAGGGUGAAGGUCGUGGUCCCAAUGCACAGGUGGGGGCACCCACAGUGUUAUCCUUCCUGGGUUUCCCUUGGGCAGAGGGGGCUGGAAAUGGGAAGGCAGAGUGGGAGCCCCAGCUGUGGCCGCACCCAGGUUCUUCUGCCCCUCGAAGGGUCCUGGACAGCAUUCAGGGCAAGGGGCCUCAUGCAAGGGGCCAUCGCCCACCAGAGACACUGUCUUUCCCACCACCAACACCAGAGGCACCGUCCUUCCCCAUCACCCAACACCGGAGGCACCAUCCUUCCCCAUUGCCCAUCAGAGGCACCAUCCUUCCCAUCACCCACACUGGAGGCACCAUUCUUCCCGUCACCCACACCGGAGGUACCGUCCUUCCCAUCACCCACACCGGAGGCACCGUCCUUCCCAUCACCCACACCAGAGGCACCGUCCUUCCCAUCACCCACAUCAGAGGCACCGUCCUUCCCAUCACCCACAUCAGAGGCACUGUCCUUCCCCAGGAGGAGCAGUUGCUGAAUCCUUGGGGUUCUCCAGCAAAGGGGCCCCCGGUGGGGAGGAGUGAGGUGGCUAGAUCCGGGAUGGAGGCAAUGGCACCCUCCCCACCACCUCAGAGAGGGAGGGUCCCCCCCCAGUGUCCUGGAAGGGGCGGAGGCAGGAUGGCAGUUGGAGGCAGGAGACGGGAUGGGCCAGCAGGGCCAGGAGGGGGCGUAAAGGGAGGGCCCUCACAACAGGGCCCUGAGGAGGCUGAGGCCCACCUGGAGCAGGAGCCCCCCUCGCAGGGCCCAGCGCCCCUCCUGUGGGGUCAGUGCCCUGUUGCAGAGAGCCCAGGAACAGCAGCGCCUGGUGAUCACGCCUUGCACCAUGGGGGCCGGCGACCAUUCGAACUUCAUGUUGUCGUUGGGACAUCUGGGAGCACAGCGUUUGCUGAGCAGGACGCGUACACUCCAUU